GAUGAACGCUGGCGGCGUGCUUAACACAUGCAAGUCGAGCGAGGGAGCACCUUCGGGUGUGGACUAGCGGCGGACGGGUGAGUAACACGUGGGCAACCUGCCUUACAGAGGGGGAUAGCCUUCCGAAAGGAAGAUUAAUACCGCAUAACGUUGAAAGAUGGCAUCAUCAUUUAACCAAAGGAGCAAUCCGCUAUGAGAUGGACCCGCGGCGCAUUAGCUAGUUGGUGGGGUAACGGCCUACCAAGGCGACGAUGCGUAGCCGACCUGAGAGGGUGAUCGGCCACAUUGGGACUGAGACACGGCCCAG
rnacentral:rRNA from 1 species